GCGGGUAUAGCUCAGUUGGUAGAGCGCAACCUUGCCAAGGUUGAGGUCACCAGUUCGAGCCUGGUUACCCGCUCCA
rnacentral:tRNA from 1 species